rnacentral:rRNA from 1 species
UGGGGAAUAUUGGACAAUGGGCGAAAGCCUGAUCCAGCAAUGCCGCGUGAGUGAUGAAGGCCUUAGGGUUGUAAAGCUCUUUUACCAGGGAUGAUAAUGACAGUACCUGGAGAAUAAGCUCCGGCUAACUCCGUGCCAGCAGCCGCGGUAAUACGGAGGGAGCUAGCGUUGUUCGGAAUUACUGGGCGUAAAGCGUACGUAGGCGGUGACUCAAGUCAGAGGUGAAAGCCUGGAGCUCAACUCCAGAACUGCCUUUGAAACUAGGUCGCUAGAAUCACGGAGAGGUGAGUGGAAUUCCGAGUGUAGAGGUGAAAUUCGUAGAUAUUCGGAAGAACACCAGUGGCGAAGGCGACUGACUGGACAAGUAUUGACGCUGAGGUACGAAAGCGUGGGGAGCAAACAGGAUUAGAUACCCCAGUAGUCCCUGAGCGGGCUGGCAAGGCGCAU